rnacentral:rRNA from 1 species
AGCGAACGCUGGCGGCAGGCCUAACACAUGCAAGUCGAACGAACCUUUCGGGGUUAGUGGCGGACGGGUGAGUAACACGUGGGAACGUGCCUUUAGGUUCGGAAUAACUCAGGGAAACUUGUGCUAAUACCGAAUGUGCCCUUCGGGGGAAAGAUUAAUCGCCUUUAGAGCGGCCCGCGUCUGAUUAGCUAGUUGGUUGAGGUAAUGGCUCACCAAGGCGACGAUCAGUAGCUGGUCUGAGAGGAUGAUCAGCCACAUUGGGACUGAGACACGGCCCAAACUCCUACGGGAGGCAGCAGUGGGGAAUCUUGCGCAAUGGGCGAAAGCCUGACGCAGCCAUGCCGCGUGAAUGAUGAAGGUCUUAGGAUUGUAAAAUUCUUUCACCGGGGACGAUAAUGAUGGUACCCGGAGAAGAAGCCCCGGCUAACUUCGUG